rnacentral:tRNA from 1 species
CAGGAAAUAGUUUAUUUAAAAUUUUAAUUUUGGAGAUUAAAGAUGGGAGUAUUUUCUUUCCUGA